GUAUACUGAUAGAAGGAAGAAUGCUGCUCAACAAUUUAAACAGUCUUUGACAAUAGACCCUCUACUUUGGGCCGCAUAUGAGGAAUUAUGUAUACUAGGUGCUGCAGAGGAAGCAACUGCAGUUUUUGGUGAAACAGCUGCUCUCUCCAUUCA